AAAAACAUAUUUAAUAGAACAUAAUUAUUAGUACGUUCUGCUCAAUGAAUCUUUCAAUAGCCGCAGCUCAUACUGUGCUAAGGUAGCAUAAUCAUUUGUCUUUUAAUUAAAGACUAGAAUGAAAGAAUAUCCAUUUAAAUCUUUCCUAUUAAUUUUUAAAUUCAAUUUAUUCUAAAUGUAAAAAAACAUUUAUUUAAAAGAAAGACGAAAAGACCCUAUUGAACUUCACUUUAGUUUAACUGGGGCAGUUAAUUAAUAAAUAUUUUAAUAUUAUAAUUUCUAUAAUUGACCCGAUUUAUUCGAUAUAUUGAUCAAGUUACCAUAGGGAUAACAGCGUAAUAAUUUUUUCUAGAUCUUAUAUUAAAAAAUGAUUGCGACCUCGAUGUUGAAUUAAUUUUUCUAAUAAAUGAAACAAUUUAGAUAGAAAGUCUGUUCGACUUUUAAACAAUUACAUGAUCUGAG
rnacentral:rRNA from 1 species